AGAGUUUGAUCCUGGCUCAGAUUGAACGCUGGCGGCAUGCUUUACACAUGCAAGUCGGACGGCAGCACAGAGAAGCUUGCUUCUUGGGUGGCGAGUGGCGAACGGGUGAGUAACAUAUCGGAACGUACCGAGCAGUGGGGGAUAACUAAUCGAAAGAUUAGCUAAUACCGCAUAUCUUCUGAGGAAGAAAGCAGGGGACCUUUGGGCCUUGCGCUGUUUGAGCGGCCGAUAUCUGAUUAGCUAGUUGGUGGGGUAAAGGCCUACCAAGGCGACGAUCAGUAGCGGGUCUGAGAGGAUGAUCCGCCACACUGGGACUGAGACACGGCCCAGACUCCUACGGGAGGCAGCAGUGGGGAAUUUUGGACAAUGGGCGCAAGCCUGAUCCAGCCAUGCCGCGUGUCUGAAGAAGGCCUUCGGGUUGUAAAGGACUUUUGUCAGGGAAGAAAAGGACAGGGUUAAUACCCCUGUCUGAUGACGGUACCUGAAGAAUAAGCACCGGCUAACUACGUGCCAGCAGCCGCGGUAAUACGUAGGGUGCGAGCGUUAAUCGGAAUUACUGGGCGUAAAGCGAGCGCAGACGGUUACUUAAGCAGGAUGUGAAAUCCCCGGGCUUAACCUGGGAACUGCGUUCUGAACUGGGUGGCUAGAGUAUGUCAGAGGGGGGUAGAAUUCCACGUGUAGCAGUGAAAUGCGUAGAGAUGUGGAGGAAUACCGAUGGCGAAGGCAGCCUCCUGGGAUAACACUGACGUUCAUGCUCGAAAGCGUGGGUAGCAAACAGGAUUAGAUACCCUGGUAGUCCACGCCCUAAACGAUGUCAAUUAGCUGUUGGGCAACUUGAUUGCUUAGUAGCGUAGCUAACGCGUGAAAUUGACCGCCUGGGGAGUACGGUCGCAAGAUUAAAACUCAAAGGAAUUGACGGGGACC
rnacentral:rRNA from 1 species